rnacentral:rRNA from 1 species
GACGAACGCUGGCGGCGUGCUUAACACAUGCAAGUCGAACGGAAAGGCCCUGCUUUUGUGGGGUGCUCGAGUGGCGAACGGGUGAGUAACACGUGAGUAACCUGCCCUUGACUUUGGGAUAACUUCAGGAAACUGGGGCUAAUACCGGAUAGGAGCUCCUGCUGCAUGGUGGGGGUUGGAAAGUUUCGGCGGUUGGGGAUGGACUCGCGGCUUAUCAGCUUGUUGGUGGGGUAGUGGCUUACCAAGGCUUUGACGGGUAGCCGGCCUGAGAGGGUGACCGGCCACAUUGGGACUGAGAUACGGCCCAGACUCCUACGGGAGGCGGCAGUGGGGAAUAUUGCACAAUGGGCGGAAGCCUGAUGCAACAACGCCGCAUGCGGGAUGACGGCCUUCGGGUUGUAAACCGCUUUCGCCUGUGACGAAGCGUGAGUGACGGUAAUGGGUAAAGAAGCACCGGCUAACUACGUG